rnacentral:lncRNA from 1 species
UUAUUUUCCAGUCUUCGACCAUAUCCAAAAUUUCAUAGAACACAUAUUUCAGGAUGAAUUACGCACGAUGGGUUUGUUUUUUCUUAAAUGUUAAAUAUGUGUCUUUUUAUAUUUGUUUAUUCACCUUGAAGAACUGCUCCUGCUUCCUUUGUUGUUUUAAUCUUCAUGUGGUGAUAGAAGCUGUCAGGCAGCGCACUUGGUUUGGUCUGUUGUUCUUUUUUCUGUUCUCCGGUCUGUUCUUAUUCUCUCACAAGUCAAUUCAUAUAUAUACUGUAAUACAAAGUUGGUUGCAUCAAACAUUCUGAAAUUGACCUGUUUAAAUUUUUUACUGCUGUCCAAAGGGCAAAGAGUUACUUCACAGGCAAUUUUUUUUGACUCGUAGGAAGAGGGGGAUAUCAGAUAUGAUCCUGAGGUCAUUUUAACAGCACUUACAUAUAAAAAAAACUCGUCACUAAUUCUUAUAUUCAUCCGAUGUUUAAUGAUUAUUACAAUCGAGUGAACUCAAAGUGGCUAGUUUUCAAAGUAUAUUUUAUGUUCCUUAUCUGGCAACCCUUAGACUGUUUAUGCAACUACAGUAUAGUUAGAUAUAUUUAUGUUCACUAUUGCUUGUUUCAUCAUUAUGUUAGAAAUUAAUAUUUCCAUAUGCGAUCAUCUGUACAUUGAUGUUUGAUUGUUUAAUAGUGCAAGGUUAGUUUAAUUAUGAGUAAAUGACAAAGGGGUGGCCAGAGUUUUUCAAAAUUUGCAAAACUCCGGCCACCCCUUUGUCAUUUACUCUUUAAUUAUAUACUAGUAUUCCACCAGUUCUAUGAGAAAAUUCCAACAAAUAUGGGGCCACUUUAAUGAUGUCAUUUCAUUCAGGGUUCUCUUUGCCUAACAGCAUUUCAUUACAUUAUUGCUUGCAUGAUAGUGUGAAAUGUGUCGAUUUUUAGCUUGGACAUUCUUUUUAUCCGAUUAGAGACCGUUAUAUAACACUAUUUAAAACAUAAGACAUAAUGAUAAUACUGAAUUUAAACUUCUUUCGAAUGCAACAAGAUAAUGGAUCUUAGAACUGAUGAGUGGAAAAAAUUGUGUUACUUGAUAUUCUUAUUCUUCCAUAUCUGGAUGAGUUCAAUCACUCCUUUGUGAGAACUCCCACCAUUUGCUACCGCUGCUCGAGCAUUUUCCCUGAUUUUUAUCACCUGUGCUCUUAGCAUUUCAUUACCCAUAACCUCUCUAAUCUUUUCACUGAUUUCCGUCCCUUUUACCACCAUUUCCCCUCCCCACCCCCAAUUUGCAGCCCAUAUUCCUAGCCCUCGUUUACUCAAUACAUAUGCGUUCAUCUUCUGGUCUCCAUGCUGGGGCCAAGCUAAAAUGGGAACACCAUGCCAUGCGGCCUCAGUAACAGAAUUCCAUCCACAGUGACUUACAAACCCACCAACUGCUGGGUGACUCAAUAUCUGUUCUUGAUUCACCCAUUGGUUAACUACCAAUCCUUUAUCCUUCCCCUUCUUCAUAAACUCCUCGUCAACAAGCUCAUCCAACACCUUUCCAUCCUCUCUAUCAACUUUCUUUUCCUUCACUACCCAAAUGAACCUACACUCGCUCCUCAGCAAGCCGUCAGCCAGUUCCUUGUUUUGCUCCCUGGAAAUGGCAGUCCUACUCCCAAAGCUUACAAAUACAACUGAAUUCAUCGGUUGGCCAUCAAGCCAUGUUAGUGACCGGCUCCUCUCAAAACCGCAUGGUUCAAAUGGCCCUAUGGCUGUCACUGGUGGCAACCUUGUUAUUACUUCACCAGCAUUGAGGGCUACUAAUGGUUCUUGUUCAAAAUUUUCAAAUGUAUUGAUUAGUAUUCCAUCUGCUUGUAGCAUUGCUUUUCCAUUCUCCAUUAAUUGGGUCCUAAACAAGCUAUCCUUCUCAGAAAGUAAUGGCGGAGGAAUCCAUGAUAUGGGCAGAGGCUGCAUACCUGGGAUCGUAAAAAGGUCAUUUUCACCUCUUGAGCCAGCAAUGGCAUGGA